UAGGGAAUCUUCGGCAAUGGGGGGAACCCUGACCGAGCAACGCCGCGUGAGUGAAGAAGGUUUUCGGAUCGUAAAGCUCUGUUGUUAAGGAAGAACGAGUGUGAGAAUGGAAAGUUCAUACUGUGACGGUACUUAACCAGAAAGGGACGGCUAACUACGUGCCAGCAGCCGCGGUAAUACGUAGGUCCCGAGCGUUGUCCGGAUUUAUUGGGCGUAAAGCGAGCGCAGGCGGUUAGAAAAGUCUGAAGUGAAAGGCAGUGGCUCAACCAUUGUAGGCUUUGGAAACUGUUUAACUUGAGUGCAGAAGGGGAGAGUGGAAUUCCAUGUGUAGCGGUGAAAUGCGUAGAUAUAUGGAGGAACACCGGUGGCUAAAGCGGCUCUCUGGUCUGUAACUGACGCUGAGGCUCGAAAGCGUGGGGAGCGAACAGG
rnacentral:rRNA from 1 species